rnacentral:rRNA from 1 species
UAGGGAAUCUUCGGCAAUGGGGGGAACCCUGACCGAGCAACGCCGCGUGAGUGAAGAAGGUUUUCGGAUCGUAAAGCUCUGUUGUUACGGAAGAACGAGUGUGAGAAUGGAAAGUUCAUGCUGUGACGGUACUUAACCAGAAAGGGACGGCUAACUACGUGCCAGCAGCCGCGGUAAUACGUAGGUCCCGAGCGUUGUCCGGAUUUAUUGGGCGUAAAGCGAGCGCAGGCGGUUAGAAAAGUCUGAAGUGAAAGGCAGUGGCUCAACCAUUGUAGGCUUUGGAAACUGUUUAACUUGAGUGCAGAAGGGGUGAGUGGAAUUCCAUGUGUAGCGGUGAAAUGCGGAGAUAUAUGGAGGAACACCGGUGGCGAAAGCGGCUCUCUGGUCUGUAACUGACGCUGAGGCUCGAAAGCGUGGGGAGCGAACAGG